UACGUAGGUGACAAGCGUUAUCCGGAAUUACUGGGCGUAAAGCGCACGCAGGCGGUCAGAUAGGUCUGAUGUGAAACCUUCUGGCUUAACCAGAAGACGUCGUUGGAUACUGUCUGUCUUGAGGCGAUGAGAGGAAUGCGGAAUUCCGGAUGUGAUGGUGGAAUAUGUAGAUAUCCGGAGGAACAUCUGUGGCGAAAGCGGCAUUCUGGCAUCUGCCUGACGCUCAUGUGCGAAAGCGUGGGUAGCAAACGGG
rnacentral:rRNA from 1 species